AAAGCUAAAAAGGAUAUGAAAGAAGCGACAGCACCAGCUAAAGCAGGAGCACACCAUUUAGCAGCCCUUGCAGGCUGAGUGCCCUCCAAGUAAUGAAAAUUUGGAGUAUAGAUGGUGGGAGAAUUAUAGACAGUGAAAUACCAAAAAACGGAUAUGUGCAAAAUCCAAAUUCGGCUGAAAUUAUGAAGGAAAUGAAGCCAAGUACGUGACUCACGAAAUGAUUUAUAGCAAACUCGUUGCCAUUGAAUAUCAGCUAAAAGAAAGUAACGACUGGCAACAUCGGCGUCCAUAAUUCUAGAUCCGUCUGAUAAUAA